UCGCCUGUUUAUCAAAAACAUUGCCUCAUGCCUAUUUAUAUGAUGGUAAAUUCUGCCCAGUGAAAAUUUAACGGCCGCGGUAUCCUGACCGUGCAAAGGUAGCAUAAUCAUUUGCCUCUUAAUUAGAGGCUAGUAUGAACGAAUAAACAAUAAUUUACUGUCUUAUUACUAAAUCUAUAAAUUUAUUUUUAGGUGAAGAAGCCUAAAUAAAAAAAAAAGACAAGAAGACCCUAUCAAGCUUUAUUUACUCCUGAAUUAUUUAAUUCAAAAAAUUUUAGUUGGGGCAACAAAAAAUUAUAAAUAAUAUUUUUCUAAUAAAGAAGUAUUUUUCUAAAACUUAAACUUUUAAAUAAAUAUAAGAAAGCUACUGUAGGGAUAACAGGCUAAUACUUUUCAAGAGUCCUUAUCUACAAAAGUGAUUGGCACCUCGAUGUUGGCUUAGGGUUUCUUAUCUAUGCAGAAGUAGAUAAAGAUGGUUUGUUCAACCAUUAAAUUCCUACAUGAUCUGAGU
rnacentral:rRNA from 1 species